rnacentral:rRNA from 1 species
AGUGAACGCUGGCGGCAUGCCUAACACAUGCAAGUCGAACGGUAACAGGCCCGCAAGGGUGCUGACGAGUGGCGGACGGGUGAGGAAUACAUCGGAAUUUGCCCAGUCGUGGGGGAUAACGUAGGGAAACUUACGCUAAUACCGCAUACGACCUAACGGUGAAAGCGGGGGACCUGCAAGGGCCUCGCGCGGAUGGAUAAGCCGAUGUCGGAUUAGCUAGUUGGCGGGGUAAGAGCCCGCCAAGGCGACGAUCCGUAGCUGGUCUGAGAGGAUGAUCAGCCACACUGGGACUGAGACACGGCCCAGACUCCUACGGGAGGCAGCAGUGGGGAAUAUUGGACAAUGGGGGCAACCCUGAUCCAGCAAUGCCGCGUGUGUGAAGAAGGCCUGGUGU